rnacentral:lncRNA from 1 species
UUGAACAAGCACCAAUCCUACGCUCACGAGCAAAACUACUGUUCCGACGGCAACCAUGGCGGCUCUAUGCAAAUGACAAGGCCUUCGGGCUAUUCCACCAUGCCAUAUGGUCAGUCCACUCAAAAUCACAUGAUGAUGGGUCAUGGUGGCCAACACCAUGGCGGACACUAUGGUAGUCAUGGACGUCAUGGGGCGCAUAUGCCCCAUGACUCCACCAACUUUUCAAGCAGCACCAGUAUGGUCCAUAGUGAUGGUGGCUAUGGUAGUGGAAUGCAGCAAUCUGCCCAUACCUCAUCGACCAUGAGCAUGGGGUCGACGAAUUAUCAUAGUCAUGGUUAUGGUGGCAGCC